UCUCACCAGCACUUGGGAAAUGUCUUGCGCAAAAUGUUCCCUCAAGCCAGCUUUAUGCAGCUCCCUCAACCUACUGGUCCUGACACAGGCUCCUGCCGUACACCAGAGUGGCUGAUUCAUGGUCAAGGGGAAAUGCGGGGCUCCAACAGUUACCUUGCAGCCAUCCAUAGACACCUCUGGCCUGAACUGACCCCCAGCUUCGAAGACCUGUCCGUUCCAGGCACGGAAGCGCACAGCCUGUCUGGCAGAGGAGCGUCCCGGUCCCUCCUGCCACACCGUCAUGUUCAGACAGUGGAUUGUGAUAUGCUGUGUCCCCUCAGAGCUCAGCAGGUGCAAGAAAUUCAUCUGGACCCGACUCACAGCAAACUCGGCCUGUGGGGAAGAUGCAGGUGGGAAGCGGCCCCCAGCAACCCUGAGAUGCCCCACCGUCCUAGAGGGCACCGGGGACCAGAGGUCAUGUGAGAAGAGAUCCUACCAGUACCUCCGAUCUGACGGCUCCUUGAGCAUCCAUCCAUGUCUGGAAAGCUGCUCCAAGGUCAUCUUGCUGCUGUGUAAGAAAAGACAAGGCGUGUGUCCUGUACCCGUCCCAAGAGAAGCCAGAUUCUGAAAGUAGGAGCCAGGGCCCGAGCACCCACCCCACUCAGCCCCACCCCACCUCCUGUGACAGGGUCUUGACCAAGGCGCACAUCCCGUACUGAGCUCCUUCCCCCUUUGCAGAGUCAAUGUUGAAUAUGUCGCUCCCUCCCACUAAGUCCCUCACUAGCUCCCAGGGUCCUCUCGUAAGGCAUUCAAAUGCUUCAGCAUGGUUAGAAACCCUGUUUGCGUGCUGUGGUCUUCAUCCUUGUCUCCCUCCAUACAAGUUCUAGCACCAGGCACACACAGUUCUUCUAAGUCCCUAAAAGCUGUGCUUUGCCUAGCCCCAGGACCUUUCCACAUCUUCCACCCUGACUGGGGGGGGGGGUGGUGCGGGGGAGGGUAAGAGUCUUUCCUGUCUCCAACACAGUAUCUGGUUUUCUCAACUUGGGGUGAUCAUGCUCCCCAGAGGACACUGCGCCCCACCAGCUGGUGCAUUUUUGAUGGCUAUGACUAGGGGAAGAAAUACUUCUGCAUCUCAAGGUUGGAAGUAAGGAAUGCUGCUAAUCUAGCUCAGACAUGUAGCACAGCAAGGCUAGGCAGUGGUUAGCAGGGCUUUGUACCGGUUCUGUGAUGGAAGGCUUCUGUGGAUGUUUUUGCCUCUAGGCCGGUGAGGCACCUCCUCUAUAUCCCACAGACCCAAUGGCUCCACUGUAUUGCUCUUGGGAUUUUGGUACCCAGAUGGGUGGAGCACAUGACAAGGGGUCUGGAACAGGGCUGUUGGCAAUGGGGUGGGGGGGCUCCCAACUCUGCAUCUUCCCACUAAGGGGCCUGACUGAGGGUUCUCUGGUCUGGAAAAUAAGCUCUAUAAUAAUAAAGCAUUCUCCCAGAGCCACUAAACCAUUUCUAAUAGUGUCUGGCAUAUAAUGAGCAGAGGGCACAUUUCAGCUAUGGAUUAUAUAGCGCACGGGCCCUCCUUUUCUAUAUCCUGGAAGAAAAAGGACUUUACCUGGCUCUUCUUUCCCUGCCUGCCUUUCUGAUGAAGAGACCAGGUAUAUGCUUUGUAAAUACAGACAGCAGAGAGGGGGAGGGGGAGGGAGAGGCUGAGAUAGAACGCAGACUCUGAGUGUCUAGUAGCCCAGGGCUCCUUUUCCAUCCAGCUUUUUUUAUUACCACACCCCAGGGAUGCUGUUGGGGUCUGACCAGUGCUCACUGGAGUAGGAACAACAUGGGGCCUAGAUGGUUUCCAGGCUCAAAAGGCUGAGCUCUGAUGGGGCUGCUGUGCCCACCAGAAAGUAAAAGAGUCCAACUACACCUCAAUGCUUGACCCUCUGGACCCUGGGUCUGGGGAGGAGCGAGCCUGUCAUUAACGUGUGUGUGUGUGUGUGUGUGUGUGUGUGUGUGUGUGUGUGUGUGUGUGUAUGUAGGCAGAGACAGACCCUGGGGGCUGGAGCUAGAGCAGCCAACUGCUUCACAGUUGGGAACAUGGAUGGGACUCUUGCUCAGGGCUCCUUCUGUAGCUCAAGGCCCGUGGCUCCUGUUCAAAGGACAUCCUAGAGGUCCAGCCACUGUGGCCAGAGAAGGCUCAGCUGCUUCUCCCUUACCCACCCCGCAGCCUCAUCUCAGGGGGUCAAAAACACUGGUGCAACUUACAAACUGGAUGGGAUGCCAAGGAGGGCCCUGGAAAAGAAGGCAGAGGAUCAGUAUUUGGUAGCUACUUGUGCCGGAGACUUAGGUGGCUGGAGGCUGGAGGAGCUAUCCAGCAGGACAAAGCGUGCCAGGCCACAAGCCUGUGGGCAUGUUGGACUUCUUCUGA